rnacentral:rRNA from 1 species
UGCCAGCCGCCGCGGUAAUACGCAGGGGGCUAGCGUUGUUCGGAAUUACUGGGCGUAAAGGGCGAGUAGGCGGUCGACCAAGCGGAAUGUGAAAUCCCGGGGCUCAACCCCGGAACUGCAUUCCGAACUUGUUGACUAGAGGACAGGAGGGGGAAGUGGAACUCCAGGUGGAGCGGUGAAAUGCGUAGAUAUCAGGAGGAACGCCGGAGGCGAAAGCGACUAUCUGGGCCAUAACCGACGCUGAUGUGCGAAAGCUAGGGGAGCAAACGGGAUUAGAUA